GAUGUGUAAGAUUUCUCUUUUUUACUUGGCGCUCAAAAUGAAUAUUAACAUACAAAUUUAAAUUUGUAGCAGCAAAUUAUGCAUACAAAUCAAGUAAAAGCAAAAAACUUAACCCUUUAUAACUUCACGUAACAGGUAUAAUUAAAAAUUUUAGCAUUUCUGAUACUGUUUUUGAGCCGACGAACAAAUACCUAAAGGAUCUGAUCAAACAAAAUUUGCACAACUGUCGAAAUGUAAUCUGGAGCUGAAAUUAUUAUAAAGCCUCAAAUAUAGUAAAGAGAGCAGCCAUAAAUAUUUCAGAGAAUCGAAACUACAGACUAGAUUUUAACAAAUAUUUAACGCCGCUGUCGCUACUAGAAUAUUGAGCCAACUAACGAAUCUGCAGCUUACGAAAAAAACGACGAAUUGGUAUACCUGAUUUCAUACUAUCAAUAUAUGGUAUAGAUGUAAUUAUCAUUGCCUGGAAGAACAAGAAAUCUUAUGCCUUAGCACUUGCUUAUAUAAGUGAGCUACCAAAAUCUGAAUUAUGCCUUUAUGUAAGACCGUGCAUUGUGAGCGAGUGUAACCAGACAGUAGUUGACUUUUCUUUAUAGAUUUGUGGUUCUAUGAAAAUUAUGCACGAACAGAACAGAAGCGUUUACUCAGUCCAAGAUGUUCUUCCAUUAGCACCAAAUUUUAAAAUAUUCACGACAGUCGAGUCUAUGUAAUAUACAAUAUGUUGCAAGUGACCUGAAUGCAGCGGAAUGUCACAAAACAAAAUGUCGUUAGAUAUAGAGAUGAAAGACUUUUUAACGUUACUUUUUAGUUAGUAACAACAAAAUGCAAGCGGUGAAAAAUUGUUUAUAAUUUACAAGCUCUUUGACAGUUUUUCAAUGUUGCCUUUUCUCACUGUAAAAAUUAUUAUGUCACUGAGUAUUUAAAUAUUUAAAUAGCGCAAUCUUAUUUCGAU